ACACGCAUGACACACGCAUAUCAAUAAGCGGAGGAAAAGAAACUAACAAGGAUUCCCUUAGUAACGGCGAGUGAAGCGGGAAGAGCUCAAAUUUGAAAUCUUCAAGGUUCUACCUUGACGAAUUGUAGUUUAUAGAAGUGUUUUCUGUUAGUAGAGUGGCAAAAGUUCUUUGGAAUAGGACAUCAUAGAGGGUGAGAAUCCCGUAUUUGACCAUUAUUUUCAACUGUGUGAUACACUUUCAAAGAGUCGGAUUGUUUGGGAAUGCAGUCCAAAAUGGGUGGUAAAUUUCAUCUAAAGCUAAAUAUUGGCGAGAGACCGAUAGCGAACAAGUACCGUGAGGGAAAGAUGAAAAGAACUUUGAAAAGAGAGUUAAACAGUACGUGAAAUUGUCAAAAGGGAAGCGUUUGACACCAGUGUUGUUUUUCCGAAAAUCAAUUACGAAUGUUUUGUUUUUGAGGAGUUAUGACUUCAUCGGCUUGCUCCUUUCUUUACGAAACUUUCUUAAUGCACUUUUCGGUUAACAAGUCAACAUCAAUUUCUUUUGUUGUAAAAGGGUAUGAGGAAGGUGGCUUUCUUUUCGGAGAAAGUGUUUAUAGCCUUGUGCCUCUGCAAUCGGAGAGAUUGAGGUCUGCAGCGUAGAUCCUUCGGGGUUAGAUACGUUUGUGCUAAGUUAUAGCUUUUCAUAGACAACUUGUUGACUAUGUUUAGUCUUGUAGCUUACUCGCUUACGCUAUUUUACCUACGCUUAGGAUGUUGAAUCUGUGCGAGACUAC
rnacentral:rRNA from 1 species